CGAAACCACUGGGGGUGCUGCAUCGCAGCUGAGAUGGCCAACGCCGAUCCCUUCGAACCUGAUCUGGGUGAUGCCAGCGUAGGAAAUGUGGGUGCGACACCAU
rnacentral:ncRNA from 2 species